CGGCUGGCCCGGCUCCACAGACCCACGCGUGGUUGCCAUGGUGGCGGUUGCCGCAGCGACGAGGUGGCGGCUGCUGCUGGUGGUGCUGAGCGCCCUGGGGAUGGGGGCCGCGAGCGCCCCACAGCCCCCCAACAUCCUGCUGCUGCUCAUGGACGACAUGGGGUGGGGCGACCUGGGGGUGUAUGGAGAACCUUCCAGAGAGACGCCGAAUUUGGACCGGAUGGCCGCAGAAGGGAUGCUGUUCCCAAACUUCUAUUCUGCAAACCCCCUGUGCUCACCGUCCCGGGCAGCUCUGCUCACGGGACGGCUGCCCAUCCGCAACGGCUUCUACACCACCAACGCCCACGCCAGAAACGCCUACACGCCGCAGGAGAUCGUGGGCGGCAUCCCGGACUCGGAACUCCUCCUGCCCGAGCUGCUGAGGGAGGCCGGCUACACCAGCAAGAUCGUGGGCAAGUGGUGAGUCCCCGCCAGCUGCCCGGGUGUCCACACGGCCCACUCGGGCCACUGUGACCGGGCUCGUCACUCAAAGUCUCCAAACGAGGACGGCUUCUUGGGUGGGAAACGGAAACUCUUUGGAUUCUGGGUCCGUUUUGAUGUCUCCGGUGUUCCUGUACUCGAGGGCGGGUGGGAGCCCAGGCCCCGUGCCAGGUGGGACAGCAGCCAUGGGCAGGGCUGGACUCGGUGAGCCCAUGGCCCCACAGCCACCUCUGCUCCCCGGCUGCCGCCUGCCGCAGCUUCAGAAAGGAGCCAGGUGACUGCACACACAGGUGACUGCACACACAGGUGCCUCCCGGGGCAGACGCCUUGUCAGCCAGCACAGGGCUUCCGCCUGGGGGUGAAAACUCUGCUCUAAACCUGCAUCCCAGCCCCGGGGCCUGUCAGGGACCUGUCAGGGACCAGGCUGCAGAGCUCCCCUGCAACAACCCCCAUCCCCUGCCGCAGAAAAAUCUUCUUCUGUGACGAAGCAACCAGGGAGCAGAGAAAUGGCCGCUCAGUUUUGGGUCCUGGGUUCAAAUCACAACAGCUUCAAGAACUCAUGUAUGCCGGGCGGGUGGCUCACGCCUAUAAUCCUAGCACU